rfam:Firmicutes bacterium CAG:102 genomic scaffold, scf96
GCAAAAAGCUGGGGGUGCUGAUGCAGCUGAGAGGAUGAAAUGCCAACCCUUUGAACUUGAUGUGGUUAAUGCCAACGGAGGGAAGCGAAACAAGGAAAGC